rnacentral:rRNA from 1 species
CAGAGGGGGCAAGCGUUGUUCGGAAUUACUGGGCGUAAAGGGCGCGUAGGCGGCCUUCUAAGUCGAACGUGAAAUCCCCGGGCUCAACCCGGGAACUGCGUCCGAUACUGGAAGGCUUGAAUCCGGGAGAGGGAUGUGGAAUUCCAGGUGUAGCGGUGAAAUGCGUAGAUAUCUGGAGGAACACCGGUGGCGAAGGCGACAUCCUGGACCGGUAUUGACGCUGAGGCGCGAAAGCCAGGGGAGCAAACGGG